UACGUAGGGUGCGAGCGUUGUCCGGAAUUAUUGGGCGUAAAGAGCUUGUAGGCGGUUUGUCGCGUCUGCCGUGAAAAUUCGAGGCUCAACCUCGAACUUGCGGUGGGUACGGGCAGACUAGAGUGUGGUAGGGGAGACUGGAAUUCCUGGUGUAGCGGUGAAAUGCGCAGAUAUCAGGAGGAACACCGAUGGCGAAGGCAGGUCUCUGGGCCACUACUGACGCUGAGAAGCGAAAGCAUGGGGAGCGAACAGA
rnacentral:rRNA from 1 species